UACGUAGGCAGCAAGCGUUGUUCGGAAUUACUGGGCGUAAAGCGUGCGCAGGCGGUUAUGUAAGACAGGUGUGAAAUCCCCGGGCUUAACCUGGGAACUGCAUUUGUGACUGCAUAGCUAGAGUACGGUAGAGGGGGAUGGAAUUCCGCGUGUAGCAGUGAAAUGCGUAGAUAUGCGGAGGAACACCGAUGGCGAAGGCAAUCCCCUGGACCUGUACUGACGCUCAUGCACGAAAGCGUGGGGAGCAAACGAGG
rnacentral:rRNA from 1 species